rnacentral:lncRNA from 1 species
UCUUUUUUUCCUUUUAGGCAAUAUGUCAAUAUGAGCACACCCAGACACCAGAGCUCUGUCAGGAAAAACAGUGGCUCUUACAAGUAACCGGAACAUAGGUAGGUCACCUUUUCAUCCUGGUGCUGGAGUGGCAAUAUUACCAGAAUAAAAUCCUGAAAGGAAAAGCAGGUACACAUGAGUUCUUUAAAGCCAUAGUACAUCUCUGGAUGGCCUCUGGAUGUUGCAGGUGGUGUAGGUGCUUUAGAAGUAAAAGCAGAAUUGGAAUAAUUAGCUCUUUCAAGUUGAAGGCUUUAAGGAUGCUAGGAACUGUGGAGACAAUAUCUUCUGUAUUAUAUGGAUGUAUCAUCUUUCAGUUAAAAGAAAACUUUGGCCUAUAGGAACGGGUAGAAUAGAAGGUGGGCCAUCCAGAAGGCAGAAAGAAUUCUGGGAUAGAGCCUGUUGUAGGAGAUUUACCCUGGAAAAUAUGACGAGACAGGCACAUGGUACCUGAGCACAGGUAACCAGCCACGUGGUAGAAUGUAGAUUUGAGUAACUGGUUAUAAUACUUGUGGGAUAGGUCACUGUCCUUCUCUGAUGCUACCCAGGGCUCCUAUGAAGGAACCAGGGUAGGUUUAGUGAGAGGACUUUGAUGAGUCAACAUGGGGCUUGUUGGAGGCUUUUCUUAGAAAUUUCUUUCUUAGGAAUUUGGUGUUGUGAUUUCCAGGUUAUCUGUGCAGAGCUUGUAACUUACUUGAAGGACCAGAAAGUAUCUGUAUUUAAAAAGUUCCUGAACAGGAAAUAAAUAAAGACCAGGGCAGCAAAACUUGCCUGAGUCUACGAGUCUUAUACAGCAUAGGUCCCACUACUUGCUCAUACAACAGGAAAUGUGGUGAACAAUAGCAACAUUUUCAUUGAUGUGUGUGUGUGUGUGUGUGUGUGUGUGUGUGUGUGUGUGUGUGUGUGUGCUGUGGUAUAUGUGUUUGUGUGGCUGUUUGUGUUUGGACCAGCUGUGGCUGAGCGUGUUUUUGCAAGUGUUUGUGGUGUGAGUGCUUGUAUAUACAACUGUGUUUGUAUGCUUGUGUGUUUAUGUGUGUUUGUGCAGACAUGCACCAGUGUGUGUCUUCAGAGGCCAAGUUUAAUAAGAAAAAUUACUCUGAGAUUUCACUUUGCAUCCAUGAAACAUCAAAGAAAGCAGUCCAAUUAUUCUGCAUCUCCACCUACCUCCCAAGAACAGAGGGCACAGAAACUCCUGUAAGGUCAGAAUCCUCACUGAAAUCUCUUGGAGCAAAUCAAAGGAAUAUAGUACAUGUAGGUGCUAAGGAGGUUGCUGUAUAAAAUCCAUGUGUUUAUGUCCUUUUUCUGCUCUUGCUGUAUUGUGAAAGCCCAAUGAAAGGUCAGGUUGCUCACUGUGUCUUGUCAGCAUUCAAGGUUGUUUUCCUCAUUGCCUGCUACCAUUUCCUUUCCAGCUUCCUUGAUUCAGUAAACUUCACCAUGGAGUUUGGUUGAGAAAUUGAGAAACUGAUUUGCUUGGAGUUGUAUCUGCAUCCAGCUGAACUUCCAUAACUAUGCUGGGGUGCAAGAACAGGGCUGUUUCAGGAGCCCCUUGUUGGUCAUAAUAAUCUAAAGCACUCAUCCUGUGUUAUAGGUGUACCAUUCUGCAACUGCUGUUAUUCAAAAUCAUUUUUGCUGAGUUAAAAUCAGCCUCAAUAAGGGUUGGAAAAAAUGAGGGCCUUCUGACAAGUCUGGUAGUGUAAAAUCAGGUAGGACUGUGAGAAGGCAUUUUCAGAAAGUGGAACAGAAGUCCCCUUUGACCUGGAAAUUCCAGAACAAAUAGUAGAUAUCCACAGGGUAACUAGGGCACAUCAGGGCUCUAGUGGUCCUUAGAGCAUCCUUAUAGGAGCAACUAUCCAGAUGUCUAUAACCCAAGGAGUGAAAAUGCACUAUGUGCUGUAGCCCUGCCAUGGACUAUUGAUCAGUGUGACAUAAUCCAUUUGGCCUUCAACUAGUCAGCCUUAUCUUACUCAAAAUAUCCCUGACACAAUUUCAUUAUGGGGAGAAAGGUGUUUCUUUGGAUCCUAAUUAUGGAGAUUUCCUAUUAUUCUGGGGUCACAGCUUUGGACACCAAGUCAGUCAGACUUUGGUAAAGGGAGCUCCUAUUAGAAGAUGCUGUUUACUUUGGGAUAAGUCUGAAACAGUUAACAAGAACAAGAAGCUAGCCUACCACCAACAUGUGAUCCUUUGUUGGGAAACAAGUCUACACAGCCUUGGGAACUUGCUAAGCCAGAUUGGGUAAUAGGCCAAGAACCCUGAUUUGAAGUUCUGUUUAUGAGGGGAAAGCAUAUCACUGACUAAGCAUAAUGUAUGCCCACUAUAUACCUAUCACAUUCAAGAUUUUUUUUUAUUCCUCCAAAGUACCCUGGGGGAUGUUCAUAUUAACAGUAACUGGGAAACUAAACAGUUUACUGCAAAAUACUAUGCUUGUAUUAUGUGAGCACAAAUAUUUUGUGUGUUUGAUAGUGUGCCCUACAAUAGCCAUAGAUGUACAGGGGUGUUGUUCUGUUUCUCCAUGGCCAUCACCUUUAAAGUUCAGUUCCUAGCCUUGGGAAUAUUUUCAUGCAGCACACUCUUGCUGAUUAUAGGACCUAUGCAGUGCCCAUGGAUUUCAUGUGAGAUGGUUUCUCUGGUUACUUGCAGAUACAGGGGUUGACAAGUGGAACCCAGGCAGGUUCCUGCAUUAGAGAAGUAAUCAUAGCCUUCACUUCAAUUCUGAGCAGGUUCCCCAUAAGGCAUUCACAUAGUUUUCUAGGUUACUAAUAUCUCUCUUGAACUCAGAUUCAGACAUUGCUACAAUAUUAUUAUUCAAUAUAAUAUACCUGGGCUAUUGGAGAAAUAUGGUGGGUAUUUUUUUAAUGCCAUUGCAGUGUGUAGUUCACAGUUCAGUUUCUAGUACUUUUUAAAAGCUGAGACGAUUCCAAACCUAGGUACUCUAUGACACUUGGGGAUACAGGGGAUGACCUCAGCUGGACCGUCCAACUGAAUAAAGCUGGUGUGGGAGGGAUAGCUGAAUGGCUUACCAGGCCUUUGUCCUUUCCUUCUGAAGAUCUGAAAUACUCCAGCAGAAACUCGAACAUGGCACAGACCAGGACAAGAGCUCUAUCAGAGAGAACUGCUGUUGGAGGAGCACUGAGUGUGUGCAACAAAGACACUACUAUUGAAUCUCAUCCCUACUAAUCAUGACAACAUGGGCUGCAUUUUCUUCCUUUACUUUCGUUUCCUUGGCUUGAAUUGGCCUUAAUUUCUCUAACCUCAAACCCAGCAAAAGUGCACAUUUUGAGGUAUUCAGAGAAGUGCUGAGGCACAUCAAGAGCUGCUGGACAUCCAGGAAGAGUCUAAGAGUACAUUUUUCUCAUCUUGAUGGGUCAUUAAGAAUAGUUUCAUGGAGAUUAGUCAACAGAAUUGGAAAGACUUUGAGCCAAAGGCUGUAACAUGUCUUAUGCUUAGUCUUGGGAGGCCAUAUCCUUCAAACACAUACUCCAAACAGAGACUUGCUUUCAUUUCCCUUGAAAAGAUUAUUUCCAUCAGGAACUGCUUUUCUACUAUGCUGCCAAGGCCAGCCACAGGCUGUAAGUCUGUGCUACAAAAUGAUCAGUCAAAGAAUGCUGCUUAAGCACAAUUCUUGUGUUUGGAUUUUGUUUUGAGUUUUAAUUACUUUGGUUAUUUGGUUUUCCUUGUUUUCAUUUGAAGUUUUUUCAUGUAUUUGUUGUUGUUUUGUUCCUGUAAUUUUUGAAUAUUUUAACAAGGCUAUACACUACAUAUUUACUUCCCACUUGCAGUUGCUAUUGAGUAAAUUGGAUGUAUUCUUAUGAAUAAAACAGCAAUCUCUAGCUCUUCACUUUUAAGAACCUUCUUUAUUCAGGGGCGGUGUCACUGUCUUGAAAUCCCACAGCUAUCAGACAGAGAUGGAUAUCUGCAUUCUCACAGGGCUUGGGCUUCAGAAUUACUUCCCAGCCAGAGUUACAAAGGUGAUUGUACUUUCAGUGUGGAUAGUUUGUCCAACUUUGUGGAUACCAACUUUGUGAUAGAAAAAUGACCUGUGCUGUAUCUUUAUUGUCAAAUAUUUACCUACUACUAAAAUACACUAUUCUGUAGAUGAUAGUGUUGAACAAAUUAAUGGGAAGUAUAUUCUCUAAUAUCUCUCAGAAAAUAAAAAUGUAGUCUUAAGGGAAUAUAAAGCAGUCAUGAAAUACAGA